GUGGUGAAGUCACGUUGACUGGUGGUGAGGUCACAUUGACCGGUGGUGAUGUCACGUUGACCGGUGGUGAGGUCACGUUGACUGGUGGUGAAGUCAUGUUGACUGGUGGUGAAGUCACGUUGACAGGUGGUGAUGUCACAUUGACUGGUGGUGAGGUCACGCUGACUGGUGGUGAGGUCACGUUGACUUGUGGUGAGGUCACGUUGACUGGUGGUGAGGUCACGUUGACUGGUUGUGAGGUCACGUUGACUGGUGGUGAGGUCACGUUGACCGGUGGUGAUGUCACGUUGACCGGUGGUGAUGUCACGUUGACCGGUGGUGAGGUCACGUUGACUGGUGGUGAAGUCACGUUGACCGGUGGUGAUGUCACGUUGACCGGUGGUGAUGUCACGUUGACCGGUGGUGAGGUCACGUUGACUGGUGGUGAGGUCACGUUGACUUGUGGUGAGGUCACGUUGACUGGUGGUGAGGUCAUGUUGACUGGUGGUGAUGUCACGUUGACUGGUGGUGAGGUCACAUUGACUGGCGGUGAAGUCACGUUGACUUGUGGUGAUGUCACGUUGACUGGUGGUGAAGUCACGUUGACUGGCGGUGAUGUCACGUUGACUGGUGGUGAAGUCACGUUGACCGGUGGUGAUGUCACGUUGACCGGUGGUGAUGUCACGUUGACCGGUGGUGAGGUCACGUUGACUGGUGGUGAGGUCAUGAUGACUGGUGUUGAAGUCACGUUGACUGGUGGUGAGGUCACAUUGACUGCUGGUGAGGUCACGUUGACUGGUGGUGAAGUCACGUUGACUUGUGGUGAGGUCACGUUGACUGGUGGUGAGGUCACGUUGACUGGCGGUGAAAUCACGUUGACUGGCGGUGAGGUCACAUUGACCGCUGGUGAUGUCACGUUGAGUGGUGGUGAUGUCACGUUGACUGGUGGUGAGGUCACGUUGACUGGUGGUGACGUCACACUGACUGGUGGUGAAGUCACGUUGACUUGUGGUGAAGUCACGUUGACUGGUGGUGAUGUCACGUUGACUGGUGGUGAAGUCACAUUGACUGGUGGUGAUGUCACGUUAACUGCUGCUGAUGUCACACUGACUGGUGGUGAAGUCACGUUGACUUGUGGUGAGGUCACGUUGUCUGGUGGUGAGGUCACAUUGACAGGUGGUGAAGUCACGUUGACUGGUGGUGAUGUCACGUUGACUGGUGGUGAUGUCACACUGACUGGUGGUGAAGUCACGUUGACUUGUGGUGAGGUCACGUU